AGAUUGAACGCUGGCGGCAUGCCUUACACAUGCAAGUCGAACGGCAGCACGGGAGCAAUCCUGGUGGCGAGUGGCGAACGGGUGAGUAAUAUAUCGGAACGUGCCCAGUCGUGGGGGAUAACGCAGCGAAAGCUGUGCUAAUACCGCAUACGAUCUAUGGAUGAAAGGCGGGGGAUCGCAAGACCUCGCGCGAUUGGAGCGGCCGAUAUCAGAUUAGCUAGUUGGUGGGUAAAGCCUACCGAAGGCGACGAUCUGUAGCUGGUCUGAGAGGACGACCAGCCACACUGGAACUGAGACACGGUCCAGACUCCGUACGGGAGCAGCAGGUGGGUAAUUUGGACUAAGU
rnacentral:rRNA from 1 species